CCCAGUUGCCCGUCGUCUGCACGCGUGAGGAGCGCCUCUGCAGUGCGAUCGUCUUCUCUCCCGUCAAGUCGCCCCGCGUGGGGCGGCGUGCCGCGCACCGCUGCCAGGCCGAAGAGGCCCGCGGUCAUGGGCCCGGAAAUCCGGGUGCGCGGGUCGGGGUUUAGUACACCCUUGACUAUGAGUACCUCUCGUUCCCUCGGCGCGCGCAGGCGCGCCGAUGGGCCCAUCCGAACCCCCCUUGCAGUAGCCGUACACCUCUGAUCGUGGGCUCUUGAAUCGUUUA
rnacentral:misc_RNA from 1 species